rnacentral:misc_RNA from 1 species
GUGAAUCAUCAAAUUUUUGAACGCAAAUUGCACUCUCCUCGGAGAGUAUGCCUGUUUGAGGGUCAGCCUAUAAAAAUCGACAAAGUUCCUUUUUCGGGGUGGCGUUCGUAGGAAUUGGGGGCUUCUUAAUUCCUUUUGAUUGAACCGCCUUAAAAUUUUCUUUUGGUUCAAUGAACGUUUCUAAGAUCUUUUUUUUUACCGGUUUAAGGUAUGGAUUUUUAUAA